UUGUUGUUUGUUCAGUUCUUUAAUUUACCCUGUGGGAAAAAGGGGACUCCGGUAGGAAGUGAUCCGGGGAGGCAGUUGCAUAGCACCCCAAGGUGUAGGACCUUGCUGCCAAUCAUUGAGCCCUGGAUCAGAGCCAAAGGAAAUAGUGGGCCCAGUUUCCCCAAAUAAUCCCUAAAGAGGUGACAACGGUAGGAGUCUAUCCUCAGCAGGCAACCAAACUGGAGAAGGCUCUAGACACACAAGGGUCCAGACCCCAAGUCCCUGACCUAAGAAGAAGGCCCCAAAGCUCUUUCAGGCAUCCAAAGACUUACUUUCUUUCAUGGACUGGAAUGUGUGACCUGGCCGGAUGGCUGAGUCACUGCAGGGCCAGAUCACGGCUAUCAACAGGAGUUCCAGGAAAGAAGAGGAUUUGCCAUGUCCUGCCUGACCACUGGGUGGCGCUGGUGGUAAAUGACCCUCUUCACAGUCUUGAAAACAAUGGAUAAAAGAAUGCCAUACCAUAGAAUGUAUAGAAUAUCCAAAACCACAUUUAAUUCAAGCAAAGCCUGUAAAUCAUGAUAUAAACUGCCAUCAAUUUUCUUUUCCUGUAGAAAUAUAAGGCCUAUUCUGUAAUCUGAAAAAUUUGAGUCUAUUCCAUCUCUUUUGCAGCUUUCAAGAAAUCCAAAAAUAUUUAUACCUUGAGUAGCUAGACAAAUAUGCCAAAUAUCAUAGGUUCAAGAAGAACACUGUGAUGGCUACACUUUCAGGCAUCCAGCCAGGAAACUACAUGGUGUUGAUUGACAUGGUGGAAGCGCAGCUUUGACAUUUUGAUAUUCAUUUGUCACAGAAAGCUUAUUGGAUCCUAGUGAAAUUCAGAAAAAUCCUAGUGUAAGGCUCUACCUUUUCAUGGUAUAAUGGAGCAAGCUUUAAUUCACCCCCUUUGAAGAUGUACAUGUUUUCUACAUAGAUAAAAUAGCCAUGCAUAUGUGCAGCACAGCUUUCCUUUGGUUAAAAUGUUGGUUAAACUGCAACCAGUGGAUAAAGUGAAUUUUUGAAUCCCUCAUCACUUGUUCAGUCAAAACCAGUUUUUACCAACCCACUCAGACCAUUCCCAAUGAAAGUUAUUUCCCACCCAAUUUCAGCUGUGCUAGAACAGGUGUUUGGUUUUUUUUUAAAACAAGUCAAGAUUUUUUUAUUACUGUGGGGAAAGUCUACACUACCCGCCUCUCAUUCAAAAACCCCUGAAAUCUGUUAGGCUCACAGCUUCAAAAGAGUUCUCUUUUUGACAGAAACCAAACGUAGAAAUCUUCAGCCAGAAGGAGUCUCAGAAGUUAGAAGGGAUGGAAAUCUUAACAAUAGCAGUUGAGAGCACACUAACUAUAAUAGUCUUAUGAUGUCAUAGAAGCAUAGAACUGGAAGGGACCUCAGUAGGUCGCUUUAUGAUGACACCACAUACUAGAAAGGAUAAGGAAGAAAUAAUCUUGCUCUCUUCCCAUUUUAUAAACCCAUUGCAGGAUUCCAUACACAAAAUAAAGCCAACUUAAAAUUUACACUUCUGUAAAAAAUGUGUUACCGACCAUUCUCACAAGCAUCAUCUAAGAUUAUGAUAAUUGAAAGAGGGGAAAAAUGAUUUUUCUCCCAUUUUGUUUACUUCAUGCAUUUGACCGUGUUUUGUGUGCAUUCAGUUUUCAUGGUUUCUCUUUUUCUAGUCAGUCAUUUCGCCCUGUUUGUGUGGACCUUUCACACAGCAACAGGGAGAGAAAAUAAGGUAAAUACAAGUUUUAAAUAUUAGAAAAUGUGAUUCUAAUACCACAAAAAUUGGCAGGAGGAUUCAGAGGCAUGUUUAGUACUUGAACUAUUUUAACUCACGGUCUGAAAUUGACUAGCUAUUAAGCUGAAUUUCCUACAAGUAGACUCUCAAAGGGAAGAGAGAUGGGAAAAAUGUUAGAGGUACAUAUUAAAAUCUAAAAUGUAUUAGGUAUUAUUCCUUGUCUCUUUCCCUCUCAGAAAAAGUCAACAGUAAUGUAACCUGAUCUCUUUUUCUCAAGAUUGCUUAUACAAUCAAAACUACACACUGUGCAAUCCAUUGGGACACAUAGCCCUCUGGGGCUGCAAAGUUAUAAAGCAACAUUAGAGAGGAAAAAUUGCACCGUCCUGGUAAGUUUCAAACCGCUUCUACUGAUGCUGCCAGGAAAAUGCUAUUGUGCAGGAGCACAGGUGCAAUUACAUUGACUGUUACUUCUCAUCUUCUGCGUGGGUCACCCUGGAGGCACAAGUGGAAAGAAACAGGGAGGUGGGAGAGAUUCUCACAGACACAUGGGAAGAGUAUAGGGGAGAGAAAUGGAAUUCCCUUUUCCGGGAGACAAAGACUGCACUAUCUGUCACCCCAUUUUAGACGAUCAUCUGACAUUUUGACAUGAAGAAGGCUCUCUCUCAAAAGCGAAUAAAAUUUGUAAAAUUACAACCUGAUGCUAAGUGCAAGGAUGGACUUUGUGAUUUGUCCCAGGCUAUCAGAAUACAAGCCCAGUGACUGUUAUCCAUAAUAUGGGAAAUCAUCAACACUUUUUUUUUUCACUGAUGCAGGAUGGGUUUUUUUCCUCUCUUGAUUUAUUUACAAGAAGCAAUGUACAAAAUCCAUAGAGGGGAUGGUGGGAGGAAGAAGCGAAAGACCCCAGGAGGCAAACUGUUUUAUUUCAGCAUGGCUAUUUUAGGUGAAAGCAUCUCAGCCUAACACUGAUAUUGAGUGAAAACAUUAACCAAAAGAAGCUCAUAACAAUAACUCCCAUGGCUGAGAGUGAGAGUGAGAGAGAGAGAGUGUGUGUGUGUAUGUAUGUAUGUAAACUUUGGUGUUCCCUUUGCAUAAAAUUAAAUGAGUGAGAAGUGUUGUUUAAUUAUCUGACUUAGAACUUGCAUUAUAAUGAAGAUAGAUUGAGAGAUUUAGUUACUGAUUUUUUAAAAAGCUUCAUGAAGAUGAAAAAUGCUAUGUAAGUAAUAAAGACAAUAUUUCUGUCUCUCCUGAAGGGGCACAAUCUAUAUAAGAGGAUCCCAUUUUAGCAGGAUCCCAUUCUAAUGAUGAAGUUGCACAAAUGAUGGGUUUUGGAAUCUUUCAUCAAAAUGCUGAAAGCUUCAUGUGUAUGUUCCCACACAAGAAAUGUACUCCUCAACCUUAUAAUUCCCUUACUAGAUUUUCUAGCUAUUACCUGGUUAAAAUGUGUCAUUUGGGGAGAGUGGGGGAGAUUCUCUACAGGCUGGUACAGAAAUCCCAGACAAGUUAUACAAACCUUAUAACUGUCCAAGUGACAGAUUGAUCAGUAUCAUUUAAAAUCAGACCAUAUCUAGGUCAUUUCCCUCACCCCCAUAAAUGCAUUCUUACCAUUAGUGGUAUCUCUAGUAGCACAAGUGUCAUCUUUGAAUGUUAUGGGUGAGAGGACUGGGAAGCUGAACGUUUUGCCACGUGUACUGUGAAUGAGAGAGCUCUCUCUUAGAAGAGGCCCUCUGAAGAGCAUGCAUUAACUCAUUAUGAUUCUUACCACUCUUCUCCCAGUGGCCUCACCCCUCCAGGCCUAUUCGUUGCUUGUCCUUUGACAUAGCCUCUAAUCUUUUAAUGGAUACUCACUAUAAAGCGGUGCUAAAUUCUUUUUUUUUACUUAAAAUUAAUGGGACUUCUUAGCCAUUGGAUUGCUCCGGGAGGUUGUCCAAGCUAAUGGAAACUGACAGAUCCACCCAUAAUGGACACAUAAUAAAAAAAACCUUCAAGAAGUGCACCAGAAGGAACUCUAAUGAAACUCAGUGCAAUCAAAAAAAUAUGAUCUGUAUUUUACACUGGUUAUUGUCAAAACACAAUAGAGCAAUGGUUCUCAACCUGCGAUCCACAAACCCCUGGGGGUCUGCGGACAGUGUCUAAGGGCUCCGUGAAAGACAUGAAAGAAAAAAAUGACUUAACAGAAUUCAACUGUGUAUAAGGAGAAUAGAUUCUCAAAGGAUCUGCAAUUCCAUUUGAAAUUUUUUAGGGGUCCACAAAUGAAAAAAAGUUGAAAUCACUGCAAUAGAGGACAGAGAGUUUUAAAAAGCACCUAAAUCCCAUUGUCCAGUGACUUAAAUACUUAAGAGUUUUUCUCAUUGAAAUUCAAAGUGAAGAUUAUUAUAUUAUUAUUUAUUACUAUUUUUACUGAAAAUAAACAGGAUUAUACAGAAAAUAUAUCAUUUAAAACUAGCUACAACGUUUUGAUAAUGUGGCAGUGAAUUGAGUUACAAAAGAAGAAUUCAAUUACCCUUUAUGUAGUGCCUCACCUAUUAAAUAUAGAGCGUAAUAUCUUACCUAGAUUUUCCUGUCUCUGGUGGGUAGAGUAUCUGGAAGUAGUGUGAUAAGAAUUUUUAUACCCUUUGCCUCCCUUCCCUCCUUUUCUGUGGGAAAUGCCAGUCAAUCCAGAUGACAUCAGACCAGUUGCUGCGAUUAGUUUAUUUAAAAUGAUCUCCCUCUGGAAUCAUUCCCUUUCAUGCUAUGCACAUUUGAAGUGACAUCAUACUGUCAGAAUAAAAAUCUCUCUUUUCUUGUUCCUUGAAGGUAAGUAGUUUUCAGUCUUUUGUUUCAUACUGAAAACUUCCUCUGUGAUAAAUGUGGGUCAGUAAUUAAAGAUCUAGUUCACAUUUCCCAUCCAUUUAAUUGGUUUAUUCCAAACCUGGUCUCAGUCCAUCUGCAGUGACUAUGUCUACACUAGAGGAUUUUAGCAACAAAAUCCCACCUGUGGUGGCGCUGGUUCAGCUGCACAGAUGAGGGCCCGAUAGUAAACUAGGGCUAUGCCUACACUGUACUUUUGUGGUUAAAACUUUUGUUGGUCAGGGAGUGUGAAAAAAACAAACCCCUGACCGACAAAAAUUUUGACGACGAAAAGCUCCCAGCAACAAAGCUACCGCCUCUCAUUGGGGGUGGUUUUAUUUUGUCUGGAGGAGAGCUCUCUCCUGCCAACAAAGAGUAGCUAUGCUGCGUGCCUUCCAGCAGCAAGGCUUUACUGCAGG